UACGUAGGGUGCAAGCGUUGUCCGGAAUUAUUGGGCGUAAAGAGCUCGUAGGCGGUCUGUUGCGUCCGCUGUGAAAACUCGGGGCUUAACCCCGAGCCUGCAGUGGAUACGGGCAGACUAGAGGUAGGUAGGGGAGAAUGGAAUUCCCGGUGUAGCGGUGAAAUGCGCAGAUAUCGGGAGGAACACCGGUGGCGAAGGCGGUUCUCUGGGCCUUACCUGACGCUGAGGAGCGAAAGCGUGGGGAGCGAACAGG
rnacentral:rRNA from 1 species